ACACAGGAUUUAUUAAAAUCCUUAAAUUGUAAAAACGAAGGAAACU
rfam:Apis mellifera strain DH4 unplaced genomic scaffold GroupTn2963, whole genome shotgun sequence.